UUACCCCAUGAUGCUCAGGUCCGCCGCAUCUCCUGGGUCGUGGGGUCGGUCGGCUGGCCUCGGACUUGCGGAUUCCUCGUGCUGCAACCGGACCAGUCGACCCCCAU
rnacentral:sRNA from 1 species